UUGGGAAAACCCUAACCCUGAAACCCUGAAACCCUUGACCCAGCUCUGAAACACGCAGCCGCACCCCACCCCUGUUUCAUCCCCUUCAGCGUUACCCUCACUCCCAAUCCCUAACCCAGCGUCGCAACCCCGCUGCCGUCACCAUCAUUACGCGACACACAUACAGAAGUGGAAAGGGAGAAGAGAGAGCUCGCAAAACAGGGAGAGAUGGACCCGCGCCCUGCCGUCCACCCAUGCCUCGCCGCCGCGCCACCGCGCCCUGCCGUCGAAUCCAUCCCGCUGCUGCCAGCAACGCCGAAGAGGGAUGGCUUGCGAGUGAGAGGGUCGCGGGCUUGUAGCCGUCGUCCUUGUCGCCGAGAAAGAAGGACGCCAUCGGCGCCGUUCAGAGUAGAAGGAGAGGAGCCUCUGUCGCGCCGCCACAGCGCCGCUGCCGCCGCUGGGGGAGUUUCGUGCGUCGCCGCCGAGGGUUUGCCGCUGGUGAGGAAGAGACACCGUCGCCUCAAGCUGCUGCCGCCAUCGAGUUUUGAGGAGAGAGAGGGAGCUGCGGAGAGGUUAAACCGCGAUGGUGGGUUGUUCCGCUACCUUUGCUGUCGUCACCGCCAGAAGCUACCGCCAUGGCUGCCGGCUUCCUAGCUGCUGCUGUGCUUGUGGUCCGCUGGGUAUGGUCGCCGGGGGAGUAGUUGUGGCUGCUGAAACCACCGUUGAAGCUUCAGGCGCUUCUGCCGCCAGAAAAACACUGCCGCCACCUCUGUCGCCAAAAACAGCCGCUCAGUCCUCUGUGUUGGAGUUUAUUGCGAGUUGCCGUCGUUCUGGUCAUCCGCUGAGGCGUUGGUGUUACCGGAACUGCCACCGGUGCUGCCGCUACUUGGUUCCCUUGAGUACGUUGUUGUACUGCGAUUAGAGUUGCUGUGGUUACUGCGAAAGUGGCUUGGAGCUGAGGUUGCGGUUGUUAAUGAUUUCGGGUUGAGAGAGAAUGUUCCUAUGACGCGUUUGGGUUAUGGUUUUGCGUAUUAAGGUAGGGACUUUUCUAAAAAGCUAUUUAUAGCUGGAAUUAUUAUAAAUGGAUACUGGUGUGAGAAUUAUAUAUUUUUGGUGAUUGUACCAGUCUUAUGUAUUGUUUGGCGACUUUGGAUGAAUAUGAUUAUAUGUUUUGAUUAGAUUAUUGUUUGGUUUUGAUAAAUGAAUUGUUGCUGAACUAUUUUUUUCAAGUUUUGGAAAUGAGUUUAAUCGGUUGAUAAUGAUUUGAUCUUGAAACGGUUUUCUUGAGAUAUGAAAAUGAGGUGACUGUUGGAUUUAGCUUGCUUUUGAACUGAUUUUGGAUUUUGGACCGUUGAAAAGGAUUGGGGAAUGGUUUAGUUGGGACUCGAAUCGGGUGGCAAAGUCCAAGUUUUAGGGGAGGUGCUGUCGAAAUUUCUAUAAAAAUCCUAAACUUUGUUUGAAAAGUUAUUUAGAAAGGUUUGAAUUUGAGAAAUUGCAUUAUUUGAUUUAUUAAGAUAAUAUUUAUGUUUUCGAGCUUAAUUUAUUUAAGUAAAAUAUAUGUCUUGAGUUCGAUUUAUUUAGAAAAGAAAUAUUUUACCAUUUGAAUCAUUGAAGGAAAGCAUUAUGUUCUAAUACUAAUUUUUAAUAUAAAAAGGACUUUUGUUUUUGGUUAGAUUUAAAGAUUUCAUUCAGAGGAGCUUUUAGUGAUUUUAAAGGAAAUUAAACUUUGACUAAAUAAUUGCGUUUGUGACAUUUUGGAAGAAUUCAAAGAAUUGGUUUUAAAAAGGAACCUGGAAGUGGUUUUAAUUUAAAUGAAUCGGUUCCGUUUCAAGUGAAUUGACUUUGGAUUGGGUUGGGAUUUGUGACUUUAUAUGAUCCAUUUUUAUAAUAAACUCUAUUUUUAUUUGCUUAAACCAAGGAUAUAUGAUUUUAAGAAUUUCAAUGAAUUUUUAAGAAAUUGAGAUAGGUUGUCCUUCCCUAAAGUCUUGAGACUCUGCUGAGAAAUUUCUAUUACCAAAUUCUGUUUUGGGAUGACUGAUUUUUGGAUCUUUCAAAAGAGAUUUUUAAUUUGGCCUAGUUGUUGAAUUGUUUGGAAGUUUUAGAAGGGUGUUGUAGAAAUGUGGCUUGUUUUAAAAGAGGAAAUUUCUUUUGAGAAAGAUGGCUUAUAAGCUAGAAGUGAUUUGAGAAUGUGGAUCUUUGAAGUUAAGACUGAGAGGAAUUGAAAUUGAUUUUCAAAGAAAAGUGUUUUGAGAAAAGUGAUUUAUGACUUAAAUGAUGAUUAUAUGUUUGAUGAUGUUGGAUGGUGGAAGUGCUGUUAUGCUAUGAGCCAGAAUGGCUGUAUAUGAUAAUGAAUCAUGGCUGUUUAUGGAAUAUGUUAUGAGCCGAAAUGGCUGUAUAUGAUAAUGAAUCAUGGAUGGUUGUGGAAUAUGUUAUGAGCCGGAUGGCUGAGUAUGAAUAUGAAUGGUUAUUGAAUUGAUAAAGUGAUUGUUGCACUUCCAAUUAUCUGAGAUACGAGUUUUCCUGGGUAGAAGUAGUGGCUAGCCACCACGUGCUCCAGGUUGAGACUCAAUACUCUGUUGACCCUAUGUCGCAAGUGUGGCCGGACACUGUGAAAGUUCCGGAUGAGCUCGCCCCCGUGAAUAUACACCAGUGAGGGUGUUGGAUGUGAAUUAUAAUUAUAAUUGUGAAUAACUCGAGUUGGGGAUGCACGACAGAGGGACAGUCCAAUGGUUAGCUACCAGGACUUGUCGGAUUGGCUUUAUAACCGACAGAUGAUAUCAUCAGCCGCUAGGACAGGCAUUUAUCAUAUGCAUCUAUGUGACAUUAUUUGGGUGUGCAUAUUGUACUUGGUUUGCCUUUGUGAUUACUUGUGAUUAACUGUUAAUUAUUCUAUUUGCAAUAACUGUUUGUUUGUGCUUGAACUUUCUUAUUUGUGUUUGCGACGGAGACUCUGUUGGAUUGUGGUCAUUGAUUGUUGUUUAGGUUGUUUGGGCCUAGGGUCAUGGUUGAUCACGAGGUGGGCCGAAGGCCAUGUUUGGUUGAUGUUUCUGGUUUAGAAAAGUAUGAAAAACUAAUUUGGUUUAACAUGGAUAAACCUUUUGAAUUUCUUUUGAAUUUUUAAGAAAUGAACAGUUUCCUCUUUCAAAAAAGAUUUUAGAUAUUUUGUAUAGUAAACCUUUACUUUUGAAAAGAUGCAUAAGGCAGUUAUUAAUCAAUGUAACGAUUUUACCUUGCGUAUCCUAUUGUAGUAAUUCUGCAACCCUAUAGUGAGAACCCUCUCGAGGAUGAUGUUCUCACUCCCCUACAGGACUUUUCUUUUCAAGUUACAGACGACGAAGUUCGGAAGAGCUUAAUUCUUUUCUGUUAGACAAUAUUUCUGUAUUGUUUUAGUAUUUAUGUUUUUCUCGCCUUUAGCUUUGUAAGUUUUGUAAGAGGGAUAGGAUGUUGAUAUGAGGUGCUUGUAAUUUAUAUUGAAUGUAUGAAUGUAUGUUUUUUGAAAGAUUCAGUUUAACUUUUAAACAGGCUCAUAUUGUAGUAUAAAAUAUUAUAAGAGUCGUCGUAAUACACGAGCUAUCAGAAUAGCGCAGUCGGAAGCGUGACUUUUUGAUAGUUAGGGUGUUACAGAGAAGAUUUCUAAAAUUCAACAUACAUCAAAUUUAUUCAAUAUUUGAUUAAUCAUAUAAUAAACGAAAUAAAAAAUUAAAAAAUAGAAGAACAAAAGCCCAGAACAAAAAAUGAAAACAGAAAGAAGUCAAAGAACAGAAAAAGAGCCAGAAGUUCAGAACUAACUGCAAGAGAAGUAGAGAACAGAAGGCCAGAGCCAAACGAUCAGCGACGGUGAGGCGACGACCCGCGACGGUGACCAGACGACCCACGACGGUGAGGCGAUUGACGGCGUCUGUUUCGAUUGAUGGGAGUGGCGCUUGGCUCCGGCGUCUAUUUCGAUUGACGGCGGUGGUUGUCCUUCGUAGGCAAAAGCUCGAGCCACGAAGAGCUUAGGGUUGGGAGCGGGAGUGUUCUUCGAAGAG